UGUCGUCAGCUCGUGUUGUGAAAUGUUGGGUUAAGUCCCGCAACGAGCGCAACCCUUAUCCUUUGUUGCCAGCGGUCCGGCCGGGAACUCAAAGGAGACUGCCAGUGAUAAACUGGAGGAAGGUGGGGAUGACGUCAAGUCAUCAUGGCCCUUACGACCAGGGCUACACACGUGCUACAAUGGCGCAUACAAAGAGAAGCGACCUCGCGAGAGCAAGCGGACCUCAUAAAGUGCGUCGUAGUCCGGAUUGGAGUCUGCAACUCGACUCCAUGAAGUCGGAAUCGCUAGUAAUCGUGGAUCAGAAUGCCACGGUGAAUACGUUCCCGGGCCUUGUACACACCGCCCGUCACACCAUGGGAGUGGGUUGCAAAAGAAGUAGGUAGCUUAACCUUCGGGAGGGCGCUUACCACUUUGUGAUUCAUGACUGGGGUGAAGUCGUAACAAGGUAACCGUAGGGGAACCUGCGGUUGGAUCACCUCCU
rnacentral:rRNA from 2 species